rnacentral:rRNA from 1 species
YUUUYYSGWRMGCCCUUAGAGUUUGAUCCUGGCUCAGAACGAACGCUGGCGGCGUGCUUAACACAUGCAAGUCGAACGUGAUCCGGAGCUUGCUCCGGUGAAAGUGGCGCACGGGUGAGUAUCGCGUGGAUAACCUGCCCUGGUAUCUGGGAUAACAUCUCGAAAGGGGUGCUAAUACCGGAUAAGCCCACGGACUCCUCGGAGUCUGCGGGAAAAGGUGGCCUCUAUUUAUAAGCUACCGUAUCAGGAUGGGUCCGCGUACCAUUAGCUAGUUGGUGGGGUAAUGGCCUACCAAGGCUACGAUGGUUAGCUGGUCUGAGAGGAUGAUCAGCCACACUGGAACUGAGACACGGUCCAGACUCCUACGGGAGGCAGCAGUGGGGAAUUUUGCGCAAUGGGGGAAACCCUGACGCAGCAACGCCGCGUGAGUGAUGAAGGCUUUCGGGUCGUAAAGCUCUGUCAGAGGGGAAGAAAUGAAACGUGCUAAUAUCACGUUUUCUUGACGGUACCCUCAAAGGAAGCACCGGCUAACUCCGUGCCAGCAGCCGCGGUAAUAC